rnacentral:tRNA from 1 species
GUGGAGCAGCUCGGUAGCUCGCUGGGCUCAUAACCCAGAGGUCGCAGGUUCAAAUCCUGUC